UUUAGGCCGCUCUAACAGCUAAAAUUAAACUAAUCAGAGAAAAUGGAGUGGAUUUUAAUCUUUAUCAUAGGCUGCGUUGUGGGAUAUCUGAUAUCGCAGAAUACAUAGUUGCCACCUUAGGAAAAAAAAUGUGGCAUAAAUUAUUAAGUAUUCAGUUUUUUAUCGACAGUCAAAACGAAGUGUACGUUACGUAUGCUCGUAAAUAAAGCAAAUUUUCCGUUUACAUCUCGGGAAUUGGAGUUCUAUUAAAAAAUAUGCAGCGGUUUAUAACUUUCGUUGUUGGUGGAAUCGUCGGUUUCCUCAUCGCCAAGAAUACCCGCUAAAUAUUAUCAUGGCCUAUGUAAUUUGCUUUGGGAUGGGCAUGGUUUUCGGCAUGUUCGUAUGCCGUCGUUGUGAGCCCUGAUUAAGAAGACUCCACGGAUCAAUUAACACCAUUUGAUAGACUCUAAGAAAUCAAGAUGACCAGAACGUUCUAUUUAAAAUGAAUUUCGAAUAAAUAAGUCUGCCACAA